UACGGAGGAAGCAAGCGUUAUCCGGAGUGACUGGGCGUAAAGAGAUGCGUAGGCGGUCUGUUAAGCAGAUAGUGAAAUCGUACGGCUCAACCGUACGGCUGCUACCUGAACUGGCAGACUAGAGAGUGAGAGAGGUAACUGGAAUUCCCGGUGUAGGAGUGAAAUCCGUAGAUAUCGGGAGGAACACCAAUGGCGAAGGCAGGUUACUGGCUCAUUUCUGACGCUAAGGCUCGAAAGCGUAGGUAGCGAACCGG
rnacentral:rRNA from 1 species